rnacentral:lncRNA from 1 species
CCCGGGGUCGCGGCGAGCGUCGCGCGGGCGACAGGCCCUGCCCUGCCCCGGUACUGCCGCAGGGAGGGCCCGGGCUGCGCCCCGAAACUGCCAGGCCCCAGGCGGGCCGCGCCCCGAGCUGGGGCUGCCUUGUUAGGCAAAUGGAACAAGAAACUUGGUCCUGGGCCUCCAUGCUUGGUCUCUGCUAUUUCUGCCGGCAGGGAUGUCAGCCUAACCCUGAAACAGAAGAGACUGAAAAAGCUGUGAGAUUCAGGUCAGGUUUGGAAUGCUCGGCAGCAGGCUGGUCCCCACAGUGAGGUCUGCCUAGCUGUGACCCCACUCCAGGGCACUGAGGCUCUUGUGUGGAGUUCAGCCUCCAGCCCCACCCUCGAUUGCUGUGCCUCUGAGUACUGCUUGGCUUCCACCUCUGCACCUAAGGUAACUGACUGCCCCCACCCCUAGGCCCAGCGACCUGAGGCUUCCGGUUAUAACCGCUGAGUAGCUCAGAAGCCCCGUCCUUGAUGUAGCUGGACCGCUGUAUGCAUGGGGGGGAAGCCUGGGGGGUAGAGGCAGAGGGAGGGUUUCCCAGCUCGGGAGGAGGAGGCAAAAGUGGGCAGGGCCUGGACAACCAAGAAAAUGGGGCAGAUUCAGUUUCAGCUCCCACCCUGACCUCACACUGCAGGGAGGGACAGGAAUCCCAUUCUCCAUUCUCCCCAGGGUCCCUGUUCCCAGUUCAUCAGCUGUAGUGAGGCCAGAUAGGCUGAGAGGGCUGCAGGGGACAGGACAGGUUAACCUCUUCGCCACCACACCUCCUGCUCUGGCGGCUGCCUGCAGAGCUAGUCUGGGUCGGCGCCUGGCAGGUCAGGAGGCAGGUCAGGGCCGGACAAAGGGCAGAAAGCUGCUGAUCUGGACGUACUCUGCCCCACCGCUCUCCACCUGCUGCAGCUGGAGUUGUGCAGGACGCUCGGAAGGGACACUGUGACCCUACCACUGCCCUCGCCGGG